rnacentral:rRNA from 1 species
AUUGAACGCUGGCGGCAGGCCUAACACAUGCAAGUCGAGCGGAUGAAGGGAGCUUGCUCCUGGAUUCAGCGGCGGACGGGUGAGUAAUGCCUAGGAAUCUGCCCGGUAGUGGGGGAUAACGUCCGGAAACGGGCGCUAAUACCGCAUACGUCCUGAGGGAGAAAGUGGGGGAUCUUCGGACCUCACGCUAUCAGAUGAGCCUAGGUCGGAUUAGCUAGUUGGUGGGGUAAAGGCCUACCAAGGCGACGAUCCGUAACUGGUCUGAGAGGAUGAUCAGUCACACUGGAACUGAGACACGGUCCAGACUCCUACGGGAGGCAGCAGUGGGGAAUAUUGGACAAUGGGCGAAAGCCUGAUCCAGCCAUGCCGCGUGUGCGAAGAAGGUCUUCGGAUUGUAAAGCACUUUAAGUUGGGAGGAAGGGCAGUAAGUUAAUACCUUGCUGUUUUGACGUUACCAACAGAAUAAGCACCGGCUAACUUCGUG